GUUAAAAAUUGACGAACGUUAAAGAACAAUCGACGAACUAUCGAUUGCAAUACAAAAAUCUUAAUAUUUUCACAAAUGGGGUGCUAACGUCGGUUGGGUAAAACUUCAAUUUUCAAUCCACCACAAAACGCGCACCUUUACUACAACCGUAAAGGGAACUACAGCCUAAACGUUAUGCUUGUAAGUUACUCCUUGUUUCUGCAUUUAUCUAUAUUUGAACUUUUUUAGAUGUCGACCGCUGAGUUGAUGCUCGACCUAUCUCGGCAGCCGGUUCUAAAACUUCGAGAUAGGUCGAUAGGCUUGUUUGUAUAUAUUUAUGUUCAAUAUUUAGCUUUGCGACAAUGAAUUAAGGAUUCGCUAUGUUGAUGCUUGUCAUCCUGGGGCGUGUCACGAUUCCUUCAUAUGGAACAACAGCGAUUUGCGUGUUCAUUUUGAGAGACAAUAUUUACAAGGAGCGAGGAAUGCCUGGCUUUUAGGGGAUGCAGGGUAUCCUUUGGAACCGUGGCUGUUGACACCUCAUAGAACUCCAGAAGAAGGCUCAAGGGAAAUGAGGUUUAACGAAGCACACUCAAAGUGCCGAAACAUUAUUGAGCGCACCAAUGGUGUACUAAAAAACCGCUGGCGAUGUCUUCUUGGCGCAAGGGAGCUGCACUAUACACCCGAAAAAGCUGCAAAAAUUACAAAUGUGUGCUGUACUUUGCAUAACAUAUGCAUUCAUUUCAAAGCCAAUGUUGAAAUUGAACUUGAAGUGUUGGAGCCUGAAGAUGCGGAUGUAACACCAAUUGCUUCUACGCAGUACAGCGCAGUAGCACAGUCGAUUAGAGCACAUAUAGGAUCCGCUCUUUAAAUAAUACGCAACUGUAAAUAAAUAACCUGCAAAAUAAAUACCUGCAACAUGCAAUUAAUAUACAACAAAGCAAAGCACCACCACAUCACACAACGCACAAAUUUGAAUUCAUAGGCAAAGUGGCCGCCCAAAAGUUACUUAUAUGUCGAGCACAACAUGCACAAAGAGCCUCGGCGAGAAAUUCGAUAUUAUGCAUUUAAUUUUUGUAAUCAAAUCUUCGGCCUUUUGUUGCGAAAAUGUAAUGAAAUAUUUGAAACAUCCAACUUCUACGUGCUGUUUACUUACUUGGAUUUACGCCAUUGGUGUUUACCUCGGGCGACAUUAAUAUUAACAAACAAAUUGCCAAGGAAUCUGCUACCGAGUGUGAUCAAUUUUUUGCACGAAUUAUGAAAAUUCUUGAUUUACAAGAAUGCUAUGAAAGGAAUCAAUCAAGCCUGCUAGUACGCGAAAAUUCGUUUACAUUGGAAGAGCUGAACGGCGCAAUGGAGUAGGCUCUAUGUAAUUUGCACAGUGAUGAAGAAGAUAACAGUGAAAACAUUUCGGUAAAUGGCACAAAUACAGAAGAACCAUUUAAAGACACCAAAUCAGCGAAAACCGCCUGUAUUGAAGAUGCGCAAAUCUAAUUACUAUCGAAGAGGAGGAAGAAACUUGAAACCAGAAAGAAUGUGAAAAUGUGUGUACAAUGCAAAACUGGAAGUAAAUUGUCGAUCGGAAAGUGGAAACUUUUCCUUAAUAUACCAUUAUAAUCUUUGAUUUAUAUUUGCUGGGCAGGAAAUUCUGAAAUUUGUAGAUACGAAACUAUACAUAGAAGUGCGUCCGAGAUAUCUUAUGCCGGACACAAAUUGUUUUAUUGAUUGCCUCGACGACUUUGAAAAACUCAUUCGGGAUUUCAAACGUUACAUACUUGUUAUUCCGCUCACAGGUGCGCCACAACGAAUGGGUCAUUUAUUAACGCAUCGUUAUUUGUAUUAGCUGAAGAGGAAAAUGUUUCGAAUGAUGAUACAAUUUUGGCAACUGCUGUGGCACUCUCAAAACCUAUGAGCACAAAACAGAACAGAACAGAACAAAGGUAAAGUUCACAUUAAACCUGUAGGCUACCAACGCUUUAAUCUUCGAAUAAAUAAGUUUAAGCGAAAGGUAUACAAUUUUAAGAAAAAUUAUUUGCUUGAAACUCUUUUUCUUAUACUACAAUUGAAUGUAUGUAUAUAUGUACUACAGAUCUCAUUUUCAUUCUUUUACAUACACACAUGAAUGAAAGUAUCAAAAUAAGCUUGAAAAGUUAAGUAGUUACAUAAACAGAAGGAAUAAAAAUACAAAUAUUU